rnacentral:rRNA from 1 species
CGUCUAUAUACGUAUAGCAUAUCAAUAAGCGGAGGAAAAGAAACUAACAAGGAUUCCCUUAGUAACGGCGAGUGAAGCGGGAAGAGCUCAAAUUUGAAAUCUUCAAGGUUCUACCUUGACGAAUUGUAGUUUAAAGAAGUGUUUUCUGUUAGAGGAGUAGCAAAAGUUCCUUGGAAUGGGACAUCAUAGAGGGUGAGAAUCCCGUAUUUGGUUAUUCUUUCUAGCUUUGUGAUACACUUUCAAAGAGUCGGAUUGUUUGGGAAUGCAGUCCAAAAUGGGUGGUAAAUUUCAUCUAAAGCUAAAUAUUGGCGAGAGACCGAUAGCGAACAAGUACCGUGAGGGAAAGAUGAAAAGAACUUUGAAAAGAGAGUUAAACAGUACGUGAAAUUGUCAAAAGGGAAGCGUUUGACACCAGUGUUGUUUUUCCGAAAAUCAAUUAAGAGUGGCUUGAUUUUGUGUUGUAUUGACCUUAUCAGCUUUCUUCACUCUUUUACGAGUCUUUCUUAAUGCACUUUUCGGUUAACAAGUCAACAUCAAUUUCUUUUGUUGUAAAGGGUAUUUGGAAGGUGGCUUUCUUUUCGGAGAAAGUGUUUAUAGCCUUAUACCUCUACAAUCGGAGAGAUUGAGGUCUGCAGCGUAGAUCCUUCGGGGCUAGAUACACUUGUGCUAAGUUAUAGCUUUUCAUAGACAACUUGUUGACUAUGUUUAGUCAUGUAGCUUACCCGCUUGUGCUAUUUUACCUACGCUUAGGAUGUUGAGUCAUCACACAUCUCU